ACUCAGUUUUUCCCGAGUGUCUCUCCUUCCCAAAUCUCAAUCUCUCUCUCAAUCUCUCUCUCUUCUCUCUCGCCAGAGAGAUUCGCACAUAUUUAUAUACACAAUUACAGUGCUUUGUAUUUAUAUCGAGCUAUUGAGAUUCAAUUGAUUAGCGAAGACUAUGACUAUGCUAACUCAACAACCGUUAGAUCAAGAAGAUGAUGAGAUGCUGGUGCCACAUCAGGAGCUGGUUGAAGGCCCACAGCCCGUUGAAGGUCCUCUUCUGGUAGAAGGGCCUCAGCCUAUGGAUGUUGUAGCACAAACUGAGAGCACAAAUGCUGUGGACAAUCAAGCUGCUGAUGAGCCACAGGCGUCUAGGUUCACGUGGACGAUUGAGAACUUCUCCAGACUUAACACUAAGAAGCAGUAUUCUGAUGUUUUUGUAGUUGGUGGUUUUAAAUGUCAGGAGCACAGUGGCCUAAUGAGCUUAAACAUGUCAUAUUGUGCUCCAUUGAUGGGUGAAAAUCACAUGCUCUCUAGCUGAGUACAACCACAAUAAAAGAAGAAUCAAACCUGUUUGUCGUGAGCGGCAGAGAUCGAUCCCUCAAUAAAUUCUGGAAGCUCCUCUUUGAGCUCGAACAUCUUGGAUUUAAUUGAAAACAUGGUAGUUCAUGGUAUCGAAAGAAGAAGAAAGAAGAGAAAUGGAAAGAGAAAUUUGCAGAAGAGAAAUGGAAAGAGAGAUUGAAAGAAGAGAAAUGGAAAGAGAAAUGGAAAGAGAAAGAAGAAGACAAAUGGAGG